AAGCCAUGAAAGCAGAGAGAGGCCUUCCUGGUUCAGUGCACAGAUGGCUGGGAACAGAGAGAUGUUGAGGAACAAGAGAAAAAUAGUGAUUGCAUUGCUUGACAUGAUGAGGACUUUUAAUCAAGGAUUUAGGGUUUUUGCAAGGUAAAUCCACUGUAAUCCAAGCUCUGAAAAGGACAGCACAGCACCCAUAAAAAGAGGUGGACACCACAACCUUUUCUGCAGUUAUGAGCAUUAUAAAACCUUUGUACAAGUUGAUGGAUGCAAUGGGACCAAAUAUUCAGUUCUGCAAGGACAGCAUAGGAUAAGAAUCUGAUGGAGAUGGACGUAUAUCAAUUCCCUACAAAUACUAAUUCCAAAACCACUAUGUGAUAUUCUUGCACGUCACAUUCACAGACCAUACACUAAAUGCUGGCUUCAUGCCUUAGAAUGCUGAUUGCCACCUACCUUAUUGUUCUGGUCAUCUGCAAUGCUGCCAUCAUCAUCAAAAUACGGUGCAUGUGCUGCUAACCCCCUAAUUCUCUCUAGUUUAAGCUUUGAUUGAAUGCAGAUUCUGAUCAUUUUGCAGGCUGGGGUGACAAUUAAGAACUGAUCAAGAGGGGACUUCAAACCUUGGUGGGGAUGUGGAAUUGCGUCACUUCUGGUAUAUCUCUCAAUCUAAUUACCACCUGGGACCCAAAUAAUUGAAGUGGGUGUUCAUCAAUUGUCACUUCUUACACAACUCAUAACCUAACUAUAUCCCAAACCCCCCUAAAUAAUUGAAUUGAAGAGUGCUGACAAAGGAAAACCUUCUAAUUGAUUGAUGUAUUAAUUAAUCGUUGCAUCAAUACCCAUGUUCACAUUUGGACUGCAAGAGAUAUUCAUGAACACAAGAUAUUCA